rnacentral:rRNA from 1 species
UUGUCACAAGCCGUCGCAUUCUCGUAAAAGUGAGACUUUAGGUUGAGAUAAGAGCAUGAACAAGUCCGGGAAUUCAUCCCGACUCGGAUGAGGAACACAGUAAAGUUGUUUUACAGCAAAUCAAAAUGCCUAAGAUCAAAUACUGGGGAGCAAGGUCGAAGAAAGUACUUACCCAAAUCAACAUAGGACAACAAAAGUGGUGGACAACGCGGUUUAUUUCGAAGCAAAUCGAAGAACCUUACCAGGUCUUGACAUCCUCUGACAAUCCUAGAGAUAGGACUUCCCCUUCGGGGGCAGAGUGACAGGUGGUGCAUGGUUGUCGUCAGCUCGUGUCGUGAGAUGUUGGGUUAAGUCCCGCAACGAGCGCAACCCUUGAUCUUAGUUGCCAGCAUUCAGUUGGGCACUCUAAGGUGACUGCCGGUGACAAACCGGAGGAAGGUGGGGAUGACGUCAAAUCAUCAUGCCCCUUAUGACCUGGGCUACACACGUGCUACAAUGGACAGAACAAAGGGCAGCGAAACCGCGAGGUUAAGCCAAUCCCACAAAUCUGUUCUCAGUUCGGAUCGCAGUCUGCAACUCGACUGCGUGAAGCUGGAAUCGCUAGUAAUCGCGGAUCAGCAUGCCGCGGUGAAUACGUUCCCGGGCCUUGUACACACCGCCCGUCACACCACGAGAGUUUGUAACACCCGAAGUCGGUGAGGUAACCUUUUAGGAGCCAGCC